AUUGAACGCUGGCGGAAUGCUUUACACAUGCAAGUCGAACGGCAGCACGGACUUCGGUCUGGUGGCGAGUGGCGAACGGGUGAGUAAUAUAUCGGAACGUAUCCAAUAAUGGGGGAUGACUAAUCGAAAGGUUGGCUAAUACCGCAUACGUCCUACGGGAGAAAGCUAGGGACCUUCGGGCCUGGCGUUAAUGGAGCGGCCGAUAUCGGAUUAGCUAGUUGGUGAGGUAAAGGCUCACCAAGGCGACGAUCCGUAGCUGGUCUGAGAGGACGACCAGCCACACUGGAACUGAGACACGGUCCAGACUCCUACGGGAGGCAGCAGUGGGGAGUUUUGGACAAUGGGCGAAAGCCUGAUCCAGCCAUUCCGCGUGAGUGAAGAAGGCCUUCGGGUUGUAAAGCUCUUUCGCAAGAGAAGAAAACUUACCCUCUAACAUAGGGUGAGGUUGACGGUAUCUUGAUAAGAAGCACCGGUUAACUACGUGCCAGCCGCCGCCGUAA
rnacentral:rRNA from 1 species